UCGUAAAGAACUGAUUCUUUCAACAAAACUGUUUCAACGUGUAUUGAAGAGAAAGUUGCGUAUAAUCUUAUUAUCAAAAGAAACGCGUAAUCGAAUGUGCCAGUGCAGUGAAGUUAGGUUAGAUGAAAUAAAAAUAAUAAGAUAAAGAUAAAAUUAAAUUUAUAGAAUGCUUACCACAAAAUGGUAGAUCUCCUUGCCAUUUCCCACGAACGUUGCAUGUUAAACUGCCACUGCUGAGCAAAUAAUAAUUAAAUGAAAUAAUCGAAAUUCUUUACUUUAUGAUAAAUAAUGCACAAUAAGAGAACGGAAGACGAACACGUAAAUACGUAAACAAAUCGUUAAUCAUACAAAUUAUAAAACGGAGAAAGUUUAUAAUGAUUAUUUAAGUAUGACGUUUAAUAUUCCACAAAGAACGGAUAUUUCUAGAGUCACUUACCCAAAUAAUUCGUAUCCGGCAUCACAAGUAUAUGUCGCCAAAGUGCCUGUUGCUAAGGAUUCAUCGGACAAUGACACCUUGGCAUUCAUUGG